UAAGGAAUAUUGGUCAAUGGACGAAAGUCUGAACCAGCCAUGCCGCGUGAAGGAUGACGGCCCUCUGGGUUGUAAACUUCUUUUAUCUGGGACGAAAAAAGAUCAUUCUUGAUCACUUGACGGUACCAGAGGAAUAAGCACCGGCUAACUCCGUGCCAGCAGCCGCGGUAAUACGGAGGGUGCAAGCGUUAUCCGGAUUUACUGGGUUUAAAGGGUGCGUAGGUGGGUUAGUAAGUCAGUGGUGAAAUCUUCGAGCUUAACUCGGAAACUGCCGUUGAUACUAUUAAUCUUGAAUAUUCUGGAGGUGAGCGGAAUAUGUCAUGUAGCGGUGAAAUGCUUAGAUAUGACAUAGAACACCGAUUGCGAAGGCAGCUCACUACGGAAUUAUUGACACUGAGGCACGAAAGCGUGGGGAUCAAACAGG
rnacentral:rRNA from 1 species